GUUUGCGAUCAUACCAGCACUAAUGCACCGGAUCCCAUCAGAACUCCGCAGGUAAGCGUGCUUGGGCGAUAGUAGUACUAGGAUGGGUGACCCCUGGUAAGUUCUCGUGUUGCAACCCCC
rnacentral:rRNA from 1 species